GGCGUGCUCUAUAGGCAAAUCCGUAGAGCUGAGCUGAGGCGUGAUGACGAGGUGCCACGUGCACUGAAGUGAUUGAUCCCAUGCUUCCAGGAAAAGCCUCUAAGCUUCAGUUCCAAAUUGACCGUACUGCAAACCGACACAGGUGGGUAGGGUGAGAAUCCUAAGGCGCUUGAGAGAACUCAGGAGAAGGAACUCGGCAAAUUGACACCGUAACUUCGGGAGAAGGUGUGCCCUUGUAGGGUGAAGUCCCUUGCGGAUGGAGCUCGAAAGGGUUGCAGUGAAAAGGUGGCUGCGACUGUUUAUUAAAAACACAGCACUCUGCAAACACGAAAGUGGACGUAUAGGGUGUGACGCCUGCCCGGUGCUGGAAGAUUAAAUGAUGGGGUGCAAGCUCUUGACUGAAGUCCCAGUAAACGGCGGCCGUAACAAUAACGGUCCUAAGGUAGCGAAAUUCCUUGUCGGGUAAGUUCCGACCGCACGAAUGGCGUAACGACGGCCACACUGUCUCCUCCUGAGACUC
rnacentral:rRNA from 1 species